CAUGAUAUACUGGCUACGGCGGCAGCUUUCCCAACAGACAGCUGUCCGCCCGAACCUUAACCCUUGCUUUUUGCGCACCCAUUGUUUCCUCGGCAGGCUUGCCUGCCAGUAGGACCUUUUUAAACUCUUUGCAGUUGCAGUCAGCGUCAGAAAUAACGUAAUCGUUA
rnacentral:misc_RNA from 1 species